rnacentral:rRNA from 1 species
UACGUAGGGGCCUAGCGUUGUCCGGAUUUACUGGGCGUAAAGAGCGCGCAGGCGGUCGUACAAGUCGCGUGUGAAAGCCCCCGGCUCAACUGGGGAGGGUCACGCGAUACUGUUCGACUCGAAGGCAGGAGAGGGUAGUGGAAUUCCCGGUGUAGUGGUGAAAUGCGUAGAUAUCAGGAAGAACACCCGUGGCUAAGGCGGCUCUCUAGUACGGUACUGACGCUGAGACGCGAAAGCGUGGGGAGCGAACAGG